rnacentral:rRNA from 1 species
GACGAACGCUGGCGGCGUGCUUAACACAUGCAAGUCGAACGAUGAACUUGGAACUUGCUCUGGGGGAUUAGUGGCGAACGGGGGAGUAACACGUGAGUAACCUGCCCUGGACUCUGGGAUAACUUCGAGAAAUCGGAGCUAAUACCUGAUAGGACCUUGCACCGCAUGGUGUGGGGUGGAAAGUUUUUCGGUUUGGGAUGGACUCGCGGCCUAUCAGCUUGUUGGUGAGGUAAUGGCUCACCAAGGCGUCGACGGGUAGCCGGCCUGAGAGGGUGACCGGCCACACUGGGACUGAGACACGGCCCAGACUCCUACGGGAGGCAGCAGUGGGGAAUAUUGCACAAUGGGCGCAAGCCUGAUGCAGCAACGCCGCGUGCGGGAUGACGGCCUUCGGGUUGUAAACCGCUUUUAGUUGGGAAGAAGCCUUCGGGUGACGGUACCCGCAGAAAAAGGACCGGCUAACUACGUGCCAGCCGCCGCGGUAAAAC